CCCAUCGAUCGCGAAGGCAUCCCCGCUACUUUUUUCCGCUUCUUCGACGUUCGUCGAUUCGUCCCCACCCGCACAGCCAUACGUGGACCAAGCCCUGCAAAAGAACGAGAUCCAACCCACGUCUCUCUAUCAACAAAAGCACGACACGCUAGGGUUAGCAGCCGCCAGCCACGCCCGCCCCUCGAUCGGCUCCUCCCGAGGCGCCAUCGUGCUCUCGCGCACGGCGCUGGCCGCUGUCCUCAAUGCCCCCUCGCACUUCGCAUCUGCUGCCUCAUCCUCCGACCUCCGUCGUCGUGCAGCACAUCGUUGCCAUGGACUCGAACUUCUGAUGCUACGGGGAAGCCGGAUCGGAUCCCACCCCGAGGGCUCGACCUGAGGCUGCGGUGGGUUGUAGAACUCCCCGGCGACAAGCUCAACGGCCUUGUACUUCGCCCGCACAAGCACCAUUGGGUCGACGUCGCUGCCAGUGGCUGCGGCCAUGCAUUUCGAAAUUCCAUGGCAUGAUGCAUAUAAAUUGGAUCAGUAUGUGGGUUCAGAAGAUGAUUUUUUUUCUAUGCUUCCCCUAUGAUUCAUGAAGCUCCAAGCGAGCAAGAAGUUUCAGUCCACCUUUACUCAUGGCCUCCCCUUCUCGUCUGGUGGACGGCCUUGGCAAUCUGAACAAGCUUUACGCGACUGGCGCUCUUGUUGAUUCCUUAUGAGUCAUUUAAGCUGUUUUUGCACAAGGUUGAGAUAGUUGGGGCAUGUAACUGUGUUUUGAUCCCACGAAUGUCAUUUUGCACUGAAGGCUUGUAACCAUUGGGAAAUGUUUGCUUGCUCUGAUGUAUCAAGUUGCCAUGGGGGUGAUCUAGAGGUCUCUUCCUUGUCCGAAGUGUCGUACCGAAUCAAGACAUGUUCAUUUAAUUUACCUGUCAUGUAAAUGACACAACAUGAUUCACUUGUGUAUAGUGUAAAAAUAUAUUUAUUUAUGGCACACAGGUGUUCAAAUUAUAGUUGUAAAACGUGUAUAGUGUAAAAAUAUAAUUAUUAAGGGAAGUGACAUCACAAUGGUCGUGCCUGGUCUUCUCCGAGUCUCUGCUUGUGGUUUGUGUUCUUUAGAUCUGUUCAUGCCCUGAUAUUGCUCUCUGAUUUCAUCUUCUCUGGACUAAUUAGGGCUUUGCUUUUGUUUGCACCAAUUCGAGAUAAUGGUCAUGACAUGCAGCAGCCAAGACAACAAGGUCAAGCCCAGGCUUAGGCCUGAUGAUGAACACAAUUAGAUGCAGGUAGUUCCUUGCAUCCUCAUGUUAGAACUACUUUUUUUACGCUCUUGCUUCUGCAGAUUUCUAAGAAUUUGACUCAUUUUUCGGUCAUUUUGUGCAUUUGUAGUUCACAUAUAUCUAAGUUCCUUUGAUGUGUGUUUCAAAUAAACAAGAGCUCUUGGCAAUGAGAUUUUUUGACCGAACAUAUCAUUUUAACCACAAAUAGAAUACAAAUAAUUGUGAUAUAAACCUAAUUGAUACACCAUUUGAUACAUGUGUUUACAAAAUAGAUCUGAGCAAUUAUUUGUAGUAGUUAUAUUGAUUAGCUGCCUACUUACCUUUUAAGUUCUUUGUGAAUCAAUGUAAUUUUAUUUCGACAAAGUUUGAGAAAAAAAUAUGAC